GUUCUCUGGCAGCAGGAGUGAGCCCAGCUCAAGUGCACAACAGGCUGGAAAUGCCAGGAGCUAAUGCCCUAGAAGAGACCCUUAAUCAAUGAGGGCUGGGGUUGGAGGAUAAAUACCCCAGCUCCCACGCCCCUCGGUGCCUGGAAGGAAGUUGAGACACCUCGAUGCAAUAUUUAGAAUAGUUCCUCAUGGCCUUCCCCAGCGUCUGUGCCUUUCUGUUCUAUCUCAGCCGUGGCAUAGGAGACAUAGCACUAACUAAGUGCAUACAGCAAAGCAAAGGAUGGAGCCCAAAUUGAAUCAAGGUCUCCCAUAGCUUAUCAAUUUACCCAGUAACAUCGUCUUUCUCUGUAAAGGUUACUCUUUUAUGCACAUAAAUGAGAAUUAGAACAUCUCUGCCCUGCUCCUUUUGGCAGGAUAGUUCUGCAACGGCGCAGGCUGCCGUCCAUUUCACUGGAACAUUUGCCAUAAAUUUGCUUUUAAAGACAUUCUCUUACAAUACCAUGUAUGGCCCUUGCAUUAAAAAUGAGAAAAAUAUGGAAACAUGCAUUAAAAUAUUCGGAAAUAAAUGGCUUCUUUAUUACAUAAAAGCUCUCAUGUGUCUCAAAGGUACUGAGAAUAGAAUAAUUUAUCGUAAAUGAGAUUAUUAUUGCUGGGAAAAGGUCUAUUUUAAUGCCAGUUUUCUUGGAGAUUAAACCAAAUCCGAACAGUCCACUGGGGGUGUUCAUAAAUGUAUAAGUCAAAUACUUAAAAGCUUUAAUUGGAAAAUAUAUGCUGAUGCAGCUGUCCUAGGGAAGACAGAAGACAUUCUGUUUCUUCUUAUCUCCAG
rnacentral:lncRNA from 1 species